rnacentral:rRNA from 1 species
AGAGUUUGAUCAUGGCUCAGAACGAACGCUGGCGGCGUGCUUAACACAUGCAAGUCGAGUGCGCGGUUGUAGCAAUACAACUGGCGCACGGCGCACGGGUGCGUAACACGUGGGCAAUCUGCCCUCCGAUGGGGAAUAACUCCGGGAAACCGAAGCUAAUUCCGCAUAACAUUCCCUGGACUCCGGUUCGGGGAUUCAAAGCAGUAAUGCGUCGGAGGAGGAGCCCGCGCCCGAUUAGCUAGUUGGUGAGGUAACGGCUCACCAAGGCUAUGAUCGGUAGCUGGUCUGAGAGGAUGGCCAGCCACACUGGAACUGAGACACGGUCCAGACUCCUACGGGAGGCAGCAGUGGGGAAUCUUGCGCAAUGGGCGAAAGCCUGACGCAGCGACGCCGCGUGGGGGAUGAAGCUUCUCGGAGUGUAAACCCCUUUCGACCGGGACGAAUGCCCGCAAGGGAGUGACGGUACCGGUAGAAGAAGCCCCGGCUAACUACGUGCCAGCAGCCGCGGUAAGACGUAGGGGGCCAGCGUUGUUCGGAAUUACUGGGUGUAAAGGGUUCGUAGGCGGUGCGGCAAGUCGGGAGUGAAAUUUCUGGGCUUAACUCAGAACCUGCUUCCGAAACUGCUGUGCUCGAGUGUGGGAGAGGCGCGUGGAAUUGCAGGUGUAGCGGUGAAAUGCGUAGAUAUCUGCAGGAACACCCGUGGCGAAAGCGGCGCGCUGGACCACUACUGACGCUGAGGAACGAAAGCUAGGGGAGCAAACAGGAUUAGAUACCCUAGUAGUCC